GCUUGCUUCCUUCUCCCCUGGGAGCCUUUGUGACCCACAGCCCUCACCUCGGAUAGGAUCUGUUCCUGCCCUCUGCAGCUCAGCAUGGAGCACAGCUUUCCCACUUGGUUUCUGGUUUUUGGGACAGGAACAAGGAAGUCACCUCUGCCAGCCCAAACCUAGCCCUAUCAGAUCCCAUCUGUUCUAGGGAAAUAGGGCAAGCACUGCCUGUGCUGAGUGAUGCUCAUACAGCUCUGGUCCCAUGAAGCCUGUCCAUCCCCUUUUGUCAUCCUCCUGUCCCCUCUGCUGGGCUUCCACAGAGCUGGGACCUUUCCUUUCUUGUUUAUUUGUGGCUUGUUUCCUGUGCUCUGUUUAAAAAGCUCAUGUAGCUCUUCAGGUUCUCAUUUUACAGACCAAGGCAAAGGAAGCUGCAAGGAUUUCUGCCUGGGAGUUGGAUGUCUGUGUACCCUGCUGUCAGCCUCCAGCCAAUGUGAUGGCACAGUGAACCUGUAAUGCAUCCAGAGAGGAAGCAGAGAGCUGCAGCUCAGCAGGGACAGAACGCUGACCGGGAGGGGAUGGGGUCCUGCCCACGUCGGGGAUGGGAGCAGUCCUGACCCUCUGCUCCAGGCACCAGGAGGAGCCCACGACCAGCCUGCCUGCUCAGCCACCAUUUCAAGAGCUUCUCAAGUCAAAGCAGGCCUGGAACACAAAACCUUUGGGUGCCAUGCAGAGAAGCAGCAACACUGAGAGACCCAGAGCUUCCGUGGAAGCCAGCUGUCCCCAAGGCCUGACCCACAGCAGUGCUCAGCACGUGGGGAUGGAAGCUCCCACUGCAGCCGGAGGGACUCCAACAGCCACGGAGCACCUGUUCUUAUCAGAGCCCGUGCACUCGACUGGGGCUCUGGGAAUGGUGCUGCUGGGGAAUGCUGUGUUCUCAGAGGAAGCAGAACCUGCCUGGAGCCUUUCUUCCUGCACUGUGUGUUGGUGGUGUCUGUACACCUGGGUCCGACUUUCCUUGAGCUCUAUGGCAAACGGUGCUCCCUGCUCUCCCAUCGCAGCAUCAUCCGUGGGGUGCCAAUGGUGACCCACAGCCUGGUAUGCCAGCUGAGCUGGCGCUUCUGACACAGCAUGCCAUGAACAGAAAUACAUAUGCAGGUGAGGCAGAGUCGUGCUGCAGGGGGGCUUCGUGGCUAGGAAGGGGUUACACCCACUCCCCCUGCUAAUGCUAGCACUGUGGGGGCGCUCACUGUGCAGGAACCGGGGGGCAGCGGUCGGUUUUGCAGGUAACAAAGUGUCAGCAGUGGGGACCCACUCCUGCCAGUGCUGUGCCAUCAAGGCUGCUGCUUUGGGGAGCUCUGGGGCGCCGCUGGGCUGCGUGCCCAGAUGUGGGGCGCUUACUGGGAGGCGCUGGGGCCCACACUGCACAUCCCUGGCGCUCACACAGGGCCACAGGUGCCAGGUGUGGGGACGUGGGUGCCGGGCAGAGUUUGUGGCAGUCCCACGUGCAGGAGGUGCUGGGAUGAGCCCCAGCCGAGGGCCGGCGGUGCACCAACUUUCUGUAACCUCACGGGGCUCCGAGGGCUCUCCUGGGCUGAAAAACCGGGGCGAUUCUGUGUGGUCCCCCCAUAUGCGCUUAAAGUUUUUAAGGCCGUUGCAGUGCUGAUUUCAGCCACCAGAUGUGCGCAGUUGAGCCGCGUUGGCUCCCAGCCUGGAAGUGAGGUCAGAGGAUGGGGAUUGGGAGAAGAAGUCAUCUGGUUUCCUGCCUGGGCUCUGACGCAUCCCUGCAUCCUCCCUUGUCCCCCCCCGUGACCUCCUUUUGCAAACAAAGAGGGGAAGUGCUGCGCACGCAGCAUCCCCCGCACUGCUCCCCCCUCCUUUGUGCUGCCUCACUAGGGACAUCUCUUUCUUGGUUUUUUUUUUCCCCUGCCUCUGACAAGUCCAUAAUGAGGAG
ensembl:lncRNA